UUCUUCUGUAUGUAAAUGAGUUUAAUGUGUUCUGCUGUUACUAUGGAUACUGUCAUUUAAAAAAAAAAAAAAGUCUGUCAGCUGUUACGUCACAGCUCAUUGGCUAGCUAACGUCAGUUAACGCUUGUUGGGUGUUUAUCUGUAUCAACUGUCGGCCUCAAACACGCUCGUCAAGUCGGACGUUUUUCGGUCUGUUAAUUGUUUUUCCAAAGACGGAUUUAUUCUUCACAGAGUGGACACAGGAAUCACUAACUACCUACAUCGCUUCACCAAAUAGGCGCCUCCCCUUCCAUUGGACCACCAUGGGACUCUUCCCGGCUGAU